UGAGUGGUGUUUGGUUUGUUACCGGUGGUUGGCUCUCAGCUUUUGCUACAACUUCCACCUGGCUUACCUCUUCAGUUUUCUGUCUAGGCUUGUAGCCUAGGCGGAAUGUGGGUUUCCUGUGUUGCCUACCUAAGUGAUGGUAUUGUCAUGAUCGAUCGGUGUCCCUUUUCAUCAUUGUUAUACUCAUGACAUUAGAUGAACCAUGAAGUUGUCUCUUUGACCCUCGCCAUUGCUUGUCGAUGAUGUGGAUCAUUGAGCAUUUGCUCGGUCUCUUGGAUAUGGAACAUGAUGUUGGCAUGAGGUCUCUUUUGAGAUCCCAGUCCUGCCCACAUUAAGCUUUGUCGCUUCUCUAAAAAACGACUUCUUGACACGCAGUGGCUCGAAACAGCGUGUUGGGUUAAGUCAAAGAGGAAUGCUACCUGGUUGAUCCUGCCAGUAGUCA
rnacentral:misc_RNA from 2 species